UACAGAGACUGCAAGCGUUAUUCGGAUUCACUGGGCGUAAAGGGUGCGCAGGCGGCCAAGUGUGUGAGGCGUGAAAGCCUGGGGCUUAACUCCAGAAUUGCACCUCAAACUACAUGGCUAGAGCAUCGGAGAGGGUAGCAGAAUUCACGGUGUAGCAGUGAAAUGCGUAGAUAUCGUGAGGAAUACCAGAGGCGAAAGGCGGCUACCUGGACAAUUGCUGACGCUCAGGCACGAAAGCGUGGGGAGCAAAAGGG
rnacentral:rRNA from 1 species